rnacentral:rRNA from 1 species
AUGAACGCUAGCGGCAGGCCUAAUACAUGCAAGUCGAACGGGUGGUCGCAAGACCACUAGUGGCGCACGGGUGCGUAACGCGUAACCAACCUGCCCCGAUCUGGGGGAUAGCCCGCCGAAAGGCGGAUUAAUACCGCAUAUACCCGCAGCCUGGCAUCAGGCAACGGGGAAAGAUUUAUUGGAUCGGGAUGGGGUUGCGUGACAUUAGCUAGUUGGCGGGGUAAGGGCCCACCAAGGCGACGAUGUCUAGGGGACCUGAGAGGGUGAUCCCCCACACUGGCACUGAGAUACGGGCCAGACUCCUACGGGAGGCAGCAGUAGGGAAUAUUGGGCAAUGGGCGAGAGCCUGACCCAGCCAUGCCGCGUGCCGGAUGAAGGCCUUCUGGGUUGUAAACGGCUUUUCUCAGGGAAGAAAAAGACCUUGCGAGGUACACUGACGGUACCUGAGGAAUAAGCACCGGCUAACUCCGUG